AAAGUCUCUUCAGGAUUGUGCAUGUUCCUAGCUGUUGAGGAGAAAGUGGAAGAGGCCCGCAUAUAGACUUGCAAUGUUUUGAGCCAGCUCGUAGCAUCUGAAUUCCCUUACUGCAAAUGAGAAGGAGAGUGCACAGUAAGCAGUACUACUGGAAGGAAAAGAAACACCCACUCUCUCCUCAGGACCUAUCAAGCAAGAAACCUCUGAUGGAUGGAUUUCUGACAAUGGCACACUUUGGUUGCAGCAAGAGAGACUUGACCAUCUGGAAGAUCCAGAUCAUCUUGAAAUAUGCAUCUCAUCAAACUGCCCUUUUUUUCUUCCCAAAGCUGAUUGAAAGUGUAUUGCAGGAGUUGAGACAGGAAAACACCUAGAUUUGCAUGUGUCACUUUUGCUUCUGUUUUGAAAGAAAAGAGGGUUACUAUAACUGGAAUCUGCUAAAAAACACAACCCAACUAAACAUAUCAAAAUGUCUAGGUUGAAAUUAAAUAGAGUUAAAGUUGUGGGAUUAUAUAAGCAUAAGAUUGAUCAGUAUUUAGAAGGAAUAAUUAUGUAUUAGAUAUCGAAGUAAGGAGGGCUGAAAUGCAAGACUUGUAGGCUGAGGCCUGCUAGAUUUCAGCUAAGCUAUUUUAGGCCUUGGAGAUAAGUAAGUGACCGAAGAAUAACCUGAUGCCCUAAGAUUAUGGGAAAAGAGGUGCCAAGGGGUAAUAUUGCAAAAAAAAAUAUUGCUGGAAGAUUAAUUUUUAAAUAAUAAAAAUGCUGUAGAGGCACAUCUGUCUCUAACGUGUGUCUUAACCACAGGAUACAGGUUUUGCGUCAAUGCUGAUAAGAAUAAAGGGAACCUACACAAUCUAUAGGAAUAGGAGUCCCUUAGGUUUCUAUGGGACAACAGACCAAUAUGGAAAAAGAGGGUUGACUCUUUCAUAUACAUGCACAUAAUGUAGGUAUAGGCAGAAUCACAUUAUAAAAAGGGAUUCCCAGAACAGGAAAAUUGAGCUUCCUGUGGGAAAACUCCAGCAGGAACCAUCCCUCUACUCAUGAUCAAGCCAUGAGAGAACCAUCAGACUAACACUAUCUAGGAGGAUGUGAGUAUGUCUGUAGCUAUAACUGGUGCAUUGCAACACCUAGAAGUUGUUUAUUCGGUGACAUACAUAAUUUGUUGGUAACUUGAAAAAAAGAGAGUGAAUCUUGUUCUUCAGAUUGUAUGUGUCACUUGCCUAUGGUUUUAUGUGUCCCUAUGAGCUCUAGAUCUAAAAUAGGCAGCGCUAACUCUGUUAAACUCAAGACCUAAGCCACCAGAGCCGAACCCUCACUGGUAUAAUAUAACAUCUCUAAAAUUAACUUUAAAUAAAAAUAGAGGCUAAAAAGGUGUAACCCUGCCUCAAUGAGUCACAACUAAGAAUGCCAGAUUCAGGACAAACUGCUGAGAAAUAGAGUGGACUCACUCUUUUCUGGUGGUUAUUCUAUCAUUAGAUUAUAUCAAGCCAGUAACAAAAGGAAACGUCUGUAUCACCACUGUGGUUAACAAGAAGUCAAAAAGCAGCUUCCUUAGGUAUUCCAGCCCUAUUUCACCACCCAGACACUGGACUUUAUGAGGAAUGGUUAGUGUCAGUGAAAACUGAUUUAGUCAAAUAUAGGGUCCUUCCAAUUUCAAGAGAUCAGCCACUUAGCCAGGUCAAAAUAUAACUCAGAUCUUACCCAAUAAUCACACUGUUGCCAAUCCUUUAGUAACUAAAAUCUAAACGUUUAUUAAUAAAAGAAAUGAAGAAGAGAGUUUUAAAUGGUUAAUAGAUCAUAUAUCUACAAUCAUUGCAAUGUCCUUAUAUCAGG